UACGUAGGGUCCGAGCGUUUGUCCGGAAUUAUUGGGCGUAAAGGGCUCGUAGGCGGUUUGUCGCGUCGGGAGUGAAAACACGGGGCUUAACCCCGUGCCUGCUUCCGAUACGGGCAGGACUAGAGGUAUGCAGGGGAGAACGGAAUUCCUGGUGUAGCGGUGAAAUGCGCAGAUAUCAGGAGGAACACCGGUGGCGAAGGCGGGUCUCUGGGCCGAUACUGACGCUGAGGAGCGAAAGCGUGGGGAGCGAACAGG
rnacentral:rRNA from 1 species